GCGGAUUCAAAUUAUCUCUUCUUCUUUCAGUUUCAAAAAAAAAGAAAAAUUCUUCUUCGGACCCUCCUUCGUUUCUUCGACUCUGCUCACUGGUAACGCCCUAGCAUCCCUCCUCCGCACGUCAGCCACCGGCCUGCAGCUUACAUCCCGAAGUCCCAAUUCUCGCCGCUCGAAGCCUCACGGCGAAGUUUGAUCAAACAAAACCUAGCAUUGAAUUGAAGUCAAAAGCUACUCAAAUCUUUUUAAGUCCCGGUUGUCAUGGAUCCGGAUGCCGCACGGACGGCUAGGGAGUCACUGGACCUGGCAUUUCAUAUGUCGAACCUUCUUGACACGGGGCUCGACCGCCAUACCCUCUCCGUCCUCAUUGCUCUCUGCGACCUGGGUCUCAACCCUGAGGCACUCGCUGCCCUCGUCAAGGAACUCCGAAGAGAGCCCCACGCCUCUUCCCUGCCCGCAACAUCUACUGCUCCACCUUCUCUUUCCUGAUAUGGUUUGUUCGUGGGCUUUAAGGUCAAAAGAUCAAAGCCAUGUAUAAUUGGGCUUCCUGCAAUUAAGGCUUGUUCUAUGCAAAGCUAAUACCUGGAUGACUCCAGUCAAACAGAAAACCUAGAAUAACAGGUCCCACUUGGAUGUCAAAAGUUAAAAGCUAAACUUUGGAUGGAAAAUGCAGUCUUCCUUUAUGUCUAGUAAGUUCAGUUCGAAUAUGCCGAGGCCAUGCGUGAUUAUUAUUCAUGGAAGUAGAAUUAGAGCAUCUACACGUCAGUUGGAAGUUUCAGGUUGUUGGUUUUUAUUCGAAGUAUGCAUCCACUUGUGGUGGGCAUGAUAGCAACUAUUCUUGGGACUUGUCAUUGGGGUCGUCUGGCGUUUGAAUGAUUUUGUGAAACUCUUGGCAGUUAAUUCUUGGCUUGUGGAAGUGUUCACGAUUAUAACUGUUCUUGGCACUUAUUAUUGGGUUAGCUCAUCACUCUUGA